rnacentral:rRNA from 1 species
GAUGAACGCUGGCGGCGUGCCUAAUACAUGCAAGUCGAGCGAACAGACGAGGAGCUUGCUCCUCUGACGUUAGCGGCGGACGGGUGAGUAACACGUGGAUAACCUACCUAUAAGACUGGGAUAACUUCGGGAAACCGGAGCUAAUACCGGAUAAUAUAUUGAACCGCAUGGUUCAAUAGUGAAAGACGGUUUUGCUGUCACUUAUAGAUGGAUCCGCGCCGCAUUAGCUAGUUGGUAAGGUAACGGCUUACCAAGGCAACGAUGCGUAGCCGACCUGAGAGGGUGGUCGGCCACCCUGGAAGUGAGACACGGUCCAGACUCCUACGGGAGGCAGCAGUAGGGAAUCUGCCGCAAUGGGCGAAAGCCUGACGGAGCAACGCCGCGUGAGUGAUGAAGGUCUUCGGAUCGUAAAACUCUGUUAUUAGGGAAGAACAAAUGUGUAAGUAACUAUGCACGUCUUGACGGUACCUAAUCAGAAAGCCACGGCUAACUACGUG